GACCCUUUGGCGGACCGCAUUUGGCCCCCAGGUCGCAUGUUUGACACCCCUGGCCUAGAUUGUUAAAAUCUUCAGUGUAAUUUUUACAUUUCACAAAUUCAUCCCAUGAGCCAGAUUGGACUGGUUUUGGUUUUUACUGUUUUGACACCUGUACAUUAGAGUUUGACAGUUACAUUUUCUAAUUUAUUCAUUUUCCACAAGUGUCUUAAAAACAUUCUCCAUUUUAAUGACCUUAAAUGGUGUUUCUAUGUGGACAAGAGGCCCAAACAAAAAGGAAAAAACAUUUUCUUUUUGUAAAAUAUCCAUAAGAGUGUGGACAAGUGCUUGUACUGUGGAUGGUUUUAUAGAAACAUACACUGUGCGUUGAAGUGACUGUGACGUUUCCGUGGUAAAGCGUAUCCGAGGCCACAGAGCUGCUCUUCUGUACGUCGCCCUUCUGCUUCUUUAGCAUGGAUUGUGAAUCGUGAAGUGGCUAGACCUGAUUCCUUCCGACCUUAGCCUUCUCUGUUCGCAUUAUAACGCUCAAUUCUAUUUGACUCCGCUGUCAUCGGCUGCUGUUCACAUCACUUUUGCUUUUUUUUAAGUUACUGCUGAAUGGUCGCUCAUGCAUGUUGACGAACGUGGUUUGCGAAUGUUACUAGUAAAGUUGUGAGAGAACAAUUAUAUGGCCUGGAAAGUCACAUGAGAAGUUCUGUAUGUAUAUAUAUGAUUAUGCUGUGGCCUGAUAAAGUGACCUGUGUGGCAGGUUGUGAUAAAUAAUUACUUCCAGUUUCCCACAGUGUGGUUCUAUGAACUAUCUGGUCCUUUUGUCGUCAAAUGUUCAUCAUCGUAAAACAAAAAACAUAUCAUAUUCAGGCCCGUGGGGUCUGUCGCUGUCUAUUCACAACCAGCCUUCGUGUUUCCGGAUUUAAUUUUCGACCAUUCGAUGCUGUUACUCUGCCUUUUCUUCCAUGUUUACAGUACGAUAUGAUUUAGAUGAAGUGUUGCUUUUUUCUGCCUUUCAAUCAAGAAGCGAAGUGUCAAGAGUGGAGCAAUAACAGGACACCGGCUGCGCUUCUAUUGGUCGCAAUUCCCGACGUGUGACUCAUUACUGCUAGCGUUCCCCUGUAGGUGUGAAUACUUGUAGCCAUAUAUCUUCGGCGUCACCACAGACCCCUCCCCCUUUCUCAACCCGUUGCCAACUCAGAGCCCCGCGUCGCCGUGACCUCGACUCAUCAUAUCCCGAAGUGAACUUGUACGUUACUGUCCGUCUGUGCUUCAGUAACAGCCUGUCAAUAUGACGUUUGACUUUCGGUGUUUACACUUUGGCGUCGAACCCUUUCGCCUUUUGACGAUCUCUCGCACCUUCAUCGUCAGUUUUCUGUCCGUGAAAAGCGCUGUUGAUGUUUUUUAAAAUUUUUUUGAUUUUAAGUUUUUUCUCAAAUACAGAAGCAAUAACCUCUGUCCUCGACGUGAAGCCCACUUCUAUCACGGAUCGACUUGAAACACAACAAUUACCGAUUUUUACCAAGAAGUGGGCUUGACUCGGUUCCUGGAAACAGCUUCACGGUUGCAUUUGUGCAAUAUCCUAAACAAUGAAGUCAUGCUGUAGUUUUCAGACUGUCAGAUAUUCAAUGUUUAACUUAUUUCAGUGCUGUAAAUCCAAUGAAAAUGUAUUUAUGUACUUGUGUGACUAGUGUAGAUGUAGCUCAGUGGACAUACUCUUAAGUAUGCACGACCCGACCCCAAAAGUUUGCUUCAAAACUACACACUUCACUGCUGUUUCUACCAACAAUAGGAUGGAUUUUGAAGUAGCGCCGGUCUCAAAAUGUAAUAAACGCAUUCAAAUGCCUUAGCUGUGCAUUAGCCUUAUCCAUCUGAGCAUCAAUGCACUUUUCCAAAUGCUUGUUAAAUAACUAAUUGUGUUCUUCUGCACGGCGCAGAUAGGAUUUAUAUUCCUGUUUCAUUCAGGGAACUCGGUCUCGCGCCCACUGGUAUCAAUGUCAUUUUAAUCUGCAGGUAGAAAGGCAGGUCUGAUUCGCGCCCCCACAUAUGAAUUCUAACUCAGCGGAAAUAUGAUUUGGGAUUGAUACAUUAAAUUAUUGCCAGAUUGGAAGAAGGAACAGAGUGGCUAGGCUUCGCUUCAUUGUAGCGAAUCAUAUUGAGCUCCAACUUCAUUAUGUGAUCUACUUUGCAUACUUUAUUGUGACGGGUAUGUGCUCUCUGACACUUUCCAAUAAAAUGUGUGAUUUCCUUUUUCCAGU